GGUUUUACUCUCAAAAACAUCAUGGUAUCAAAGUCGUAGGAACCCUACGGCCAACAAAGCUGCUCGUACAGCAGAGAGAAUCUCAGAAUUAACUGAGGCAGAAAGCUCAGUUGUCAGGGGUGCAAUCAAGACAGUCAUGGCACAUAGGGGAGACCUUUCCUCCCACCAUUCCUUUCAGCUCACAUCUCACCGACUGAAUGGAAAAAAUUACCUGGAGGGGGUGCAAUCCGUGAAGCUCGCAAUCGACAACAGGCAAACUCGGACACCUGACUGGAGAAGUGAGAAAACCAGAAACAGGCAACCCGAAUCUGAGAAAUUGGAGAUCAGAGAAUUCACUGGUUAUUGCUUGGCUAAUUAAUUCCAUGGACUCAACAAUAGGUAAACUGUAUCUCUUUCUCCCUACUACAAAAGAUGUUUGGGAUGCUAUUCGUGAAAGCUAUUCUGAUCUUGAAAACUCCUCACAAAUCUUUUAGUUGAAAUCGAAAUUAUGAAAGUCCAAGCAAGGAGAUCGUGAGGUAGCUGUUUAUUACAAUGAGAUGUUUUUCUUCAUGACGGGAAUUGGAUCAGUGUUACAAUGAUGAAUGGGACUGUCCUGCUGAUAGUGUGAGAAUAAUGAAAAAAGAGGAGAGUGAUCGCAUAUACCUAUUCUUACCGGGGCUCAACAAAGUUGUUGAUGAGGUGAGAUCUCGAAUCCUUGGCAAAACACCUUUACCUUCUCUUCCUGAAGCCUUUUCUGAAAUUAGUAGAGAAGAGAGUAGAAUGAAGGUUAUAUUAACCAAACCAAGAGCCAAAAUCGGUAGUGGAUGCUGAACAUUCUGCCCUAGUGUCAAAGGGAAAUGAAUCUGAUGCAUCGGGGAAGAAAAAGCUUUGGUAUGAUCAUUGCAAUAAGUCUUGACAUACGCGAGAGACAUGCUGGAAACUAAAUGGAAAGCCACCAAACAGGAAGAAGAAAAAUAGUGCUGAAAACUAAAUGGAAAGUCACCAAACAGGAAGAAGAAAAAUAGUGCUGACAGUCGUGUCCUCCAAGUGUCUAAUGAAGAAAACAUAGGCCAGCAGAAUACUCAAGAUGCGUCUCCAUUCACUAAGGAACAAAUAGAGCACCUGUACAAACUACUACAAUCCCCAGAACUCCAAGAAAUUCACAAAAUCCUUCCUGCUCCUUGGCUCAAAAAAGUAACUUUAUCUCUGCACUUCUACUGAAUAAAAAAAAAUUAAUAAUUGCACUGUGAUUGCAGAUUCUCCCCUUGCCUAAAUUUUAGUUUCAUAUGAAUUCAAAGACAUAAACCUCGUGAAUUGAACACGAAUCUGAUUGGUAAAUCUCCUGAAAGCAAAGUUGAUACACACACACACACAUAUCAUAAGCUUUGAAAUAACCAGAGUAUAAAAUUUUAAUAACAAUCUUUAAAAACCUUUGAUCUCUUGUAAUUGAAAAAAUCUGAGAUCAGUUGUUUAAACUUAGAAGCAUGUUAUUUUCUCCCAGUUCAUUUGGCGCACUUCUAUUGGCCAAAAGUUUUUUGGAGACAUUAUCCAAACGAUCUGCCAACAGACCAAGCUUCAUACAAUGUUGAUCUCAAUUUUCUUGGUAAGUUUUGAGAAAAAAUUCAAAUAUCAAACGUAAAUCACCCAUAACUUCUGGUUCUUAUAUCAAAUUGUUAAGGUCUUUGUUAGGGUCUAGUUAUGAGACUUUAUUGACAGUAUGAGCUUGUCAAGAGAGAACCAAUGACCUCAUAAAGUUUAAAGUACUCAGGAAACUUCUUUGACAAAAUUUUCUGCAUAUCCGGUUUAGAUUACAAGGCUCUUUUUACACCAAAAAAAGAAAUAUUUAACUACCCUAGUUGGAAGUAACUAUCCUCACAUCCUAGAUACCACUUAAGUACCUAUAGAUCCCAUAAACUAUCAACACUUACCCCAAAUAUCCUAGAAACUACCUUCAUACUUAUUCCACUCUAGCAGCCAUGUGUCACCCAAGCUAUGUGUCACACAAUAGGGUAGCCAUGUGUUAUCCAAGUUGAUGUGGAACCUAGAAUCAAUAAUGCAAUCCAAAACUCAUAUAAUUUCAAUUAACACUAAAGACUUAAUUCUCAAAUAAACCCUCCCUACUCAACUCACAAUCAACUAUGAUUGAAAGAAAGGUAAUAGGAAUUUAUCUCUGCACUUCUAAGCAUUAAUCCUAGUCAAACUAGCACCUGGAUCAUAGAUUCGAGAGUUACUGAUCAUAUGACAGGCUGCUCCAAAUUGCUUUCCACUUACACUCCUUGUGCAGGAAACAAAAAGGUUAAGAUUGUUGAUGGCUCCCUCUCAGCAAUUGCUAGGACUGAAGCAGUUAAAAUUUCUCCAUCCAUAACUCUUCAUGAUGUUCUCCAUGUCCCUAAAUUAUCCUGUAAUCUUGUGUCCAUUAGUAAAAUUACUAACAACCUUAAUGUCGUGCUAUAUUUGACCCUUCUCGAUGUGAGUUUCAGGACCCUUCUCGAUGUGAGUUUCAGGAUAUAAUCUCGGAGAGGACGAUUGGCAUUGCUAGGAAAAGUGGAGGUCUCUAUUUCCUCGAAAAUGUGACUAACUCGGACCGACAAAAAGCGCCGAGUACUUGCUUUAAAUCUGUUUUUUAUUCAAAUAAUAUUAUGCUUUAGCAUUAUAGAUUAGGACAUCCAAGUUUUCAUUAUUUAAAACAAUUGUUUCCAGACUUAUAUAAAAAUAAGAGUGCAUCUUUAUUUGAAUGCAAAUUUUGCGAAUAGGCUAAGCAUCACCGUUCUUUUUUCCCGAAGCCAUAUCAUGCAUCCAAACCAUUUAUUUUAAUUCAUAUUGACGUAUGGAAGCCAUCUCAAGUCCCUACAAUGUCUGGAAAAAAAUGGUUUAUUAGUUUUAUCGGUGAUCACACACGGGUUAAUUAGGUAUAUCUGUUAGAAGACAAAUAUGAAGUAAAAGAGAUUUUUAAAGUUUUUUAUACCAUGGAGGAAACACAAUUUCAAGAAAAAAUCCAAGUGUUCUAGAAUGAUAAUGGUAAAGAAUAUUUUAAUAAAAUCUUAGGAAAUCCUUUCUUAGAAAAAAAUAUAGAACACCAAAGCUCUUGCCCCGAUACACCCCAACAAAAUGGCAUUGCUGAACAGAAAAACAAACAUUUUCGGAAGUAACUAGGGCACUAUUAUUCACAAAUCAGGUCCCAAGUAUCUUCGGGGUAAGUUAUUUUAACUGCUGCAUAUAUUAUAAAUUGAAUGUGUAGCAAGAUUUUGAACUUUCAGACUCGUUUAAGUGGUGUCCAGAACAAUUUUUUCCUACUUCUCGAUUGAUUUCUGACUUAUCAUAGAAAGUUUUCAGGUGGAGUGCCUUUGUUCAUGUUCAUGACCAAACUCAAGGAAAAUUAGAGCAUCGGGCUAGGAAGUGUAUUUUUGUAGGUUAUACACCAACCCAAAAAGGAUACAAAUGUGAUGAUCCUAAUGCAAAAAAAAAAAAAAAAUUACUUCAAUGGAUUUUACCUUGUUUGAGAACCAACCAUUUUUUAACACUCAUCUUCAGGGGGGAGAAGGAAAAUGAAGAUUCAGAGGUGUUUGGUAGCUCUCAACCCAUAAAUAAUCUUGAUCAAUCGGAAAACACAAAAUUUAUGAUAAACACUAAAUUAUGUGAACCUAUGGAGCCUUCUCAUAAUAUUACUGGAAAUGAAAACGGACAAAAAGCAGGUACAAAAGAACUUCUUGUCUAUUCCAGGAGGAAACUGAAUCAAGGAAAUGAGACUGAGACCUCUCAACACUGUCAAGAGUCUGAGCCUCAGACAAUUCAGAACUUCAUCGAAAUACCAGGUCCCUGAGUAGGAGGCAAACCUUGAAGAAAUGAGGGCCCUUGAGUAAAAUGGCACAUAGGAGGUAAUGGAACUGCCAAAGGAAAAGAAAACAGUUGGCUGUAAAUGGGUGUUCACAACAAAAUACAGAUCAGAUGGAUCUCUUGAUAGAUAUAAGGCAUUGAUUACCUUGAAACCUUUGCACCUGUGGCAAAACUAAAUACAAUCAGAGUGCUACAAACAAUUACAGCCAACCUAGACUGACCCCUAUAACAGCUAGAUCUUAAGAAUGCAUUUCUCAACGGUGACUUAAAAGAAGAAGUUUAUAUGAACCCACCCCCAAGCUUUGAAAAGAAGUAUGGAUCAAAAGUAUUUAAACUUAAAAAAUCUCUAUACAAGCUGAAACAAUCACCAAGCGCUUGCUUUGAGAGAUUCACUCAGCUUGUGAAGAAACAAGGAUAUACCUAAGGCCAGGCAGAUCAUACCAUGUUCACAAGGCAUUCAGCUGACGGAAAGAUAGCUGUCCUCAUAGUAUAUGUUGAUAAUAUCAUUCUCACUGGGGAUGACAUAAUUGAAAUGAAGCAAUUGAAGAAACACCAAACUUCUGAGUUUGAAAUUAAAGACCUGGGCUCAUUAAAAUACUUUUUUGAUAUGGAAGUAGCCCGAUCAAGGAAGAGCGUUGUUGUGUCACAAAGGAAAUACAUGAUGGACCUACUUAAAGAGACAGGUAUGAGUGGUUGUCGUCCUGUUGAAACACCAUUUGAUCCAAAUCAAAACUUGAAAACGAUAAGGGAGGGUCAAUAGACACAUCACGGUACCAGAAACUUGUUGGGAAGUUGAUCUAUUUGUCACACACACGACCAGAUAUUACUUUUGCCGUGAGCCUAGUAAGCCAGUUCAUGCAUUCUCCUCAUGAAGAACACCUUGAAGCAGUCUAUCGUAUCUUUAGGUACCUAAAGAGCUCUCCGGAAAAGGGGCUAUUUUUCUGGAAAAAUGAGCAACGAAAAA